rnacentral:lncRNA from 1 species
AUGCAAGGACAGUCGGGGGGACGAGCCCCACUGCGUGUGCUGCCUCUGCCUGGUUUGCUUUGGGCUCAAGGGGACUUGUUCUGUCCUGCGGGGGCGGGGAGCAGCACCAGGAGGGAAGCUGAGAAAGCCAGAGGCGGGAGCCUCAGAGGAGCGAUGUCACAGAGACAGGAGAGGGCAGCCCGGGCCUCAUGGGACAGACCUGCGUCCCCCAGGCCCCUUCCUCUCCUUGGACCAGCUGGACCCCUAAAGACUGGAGGCCCUUGGUGGAUGCGUCACCCUGAAGUGGAGGGAUGUUGCUGGUGGAGGACAACAGGGCAGAGCUCAGCCCAGCCCAGCGCCGCUGCAGUCACAGAGGACUCGGCCGCUCCCAGAGCAGGGAGGCGCCGGGGAGCUGGAGAUCGCUGCCCCGAGAGCUGCCUCUCAAUUUGUGGCAUCUGGCUGGCUGGAGUAACCAUGGAAACCAGGGCCUAAGCGGGGAGGCCAGAAGAGGCUAUGCCAUACCUCCAGCCAGAGGGCAGGGCUGAGACCAAAAAGGUGACUUUGGAGAUGAAAAGGUGAUCAGGUCACUGGGUGGAGUCUGAAGAGGUUUUCCAAAGAACAGAUGAGGUGCCCAACCUGGCCCAUCUAUUAGGAACUCGAGGGCCGGGCAUGGUGGCACAUGCCUGUAAUCCCAGCACUCGGGAGGCUGAAGCAGGAACAUUGUUGCAAGUUCGAGACCAGCCUGGGCUACAAAGUGAGCUCAAGGCCAGCCUGAACUGCAUAGAGAGACCCUGCCUCAAAAAAAAAGAUAAAAAGUAUUAGGUUCUUGACUCUUGUCACAAGAAAAAAAUUUCAGGACACAUGAGUAAGAGGCAUAGACAGAUUUUAUUAGGCAGAGAUAGACACUUGCUGGCCGUGGUGGCAUAUGCCUUUAAUCCCCGCACUCAGGAGGCUGAUGCAGGAGGAUCCAUCAGCACAAGUUCGAGGCUAGCUUGAGUUACAUAGUGAGUUCAAGGACAGUCUCAACUACAUAGGGAGGCACUGUCUCAAAAAAAAAAAAAUAGUAAAAGAUGUGGAGUUCAUACUGUGUAUGAUUGCCUAAGCCUAUGAUCCCAGUAUUCUGGGAGGCUGAGACAGGAAGUUCACACGUUCGAGAAUCACUAUAUGAACACUAUAUAGGUUGGACCUGAAAAAUAUGUAGUCUCCUAUAGGGUGGAGAUUGAGACCCUGUCUCAAAAAACAAAAAAAAAUUAAAAUAAGCAAAGGUCGGGUAUGGUGUCGCACGCCUGUAAUCCCAGCACUUGGGAAGCUGAGGCAGGAGGCUCAUUGUGAGUUCGAGACCAACCUGGGCUACAAAGUGAGCUCAAGGCCAGCCUGAACUGCAUAGCAAGACCCUGUCUCAAAAAACAAACAAACAAACAAAAAUAUAUAGGGUGGAGAUUACAUUGCUUACACAACAAGCCUGAGCUCCCUGCCAGACCCCUUAAAAUCCUCUAGACAAAGAGCCCUACUCAGUUUUUUGGAGUUUUUUUUGUCCUUUUUUUGAGACGGGGUCUCCCUAUGCA